AUUGAACGCUGGCGGAAUGCUUUACACAUGCAAGUCGAACGGCAGCACGGACUUCGGUCUGGUGGCGAGUGGCGAACGGGUGAGUAAUGUAUCGGAACGUGCCCAGUCGUGGGGGAUAACGUAGUGAAAAUUACGCUAAUACCGCAUACGAUCUAUGGACGAAAGCGGGGGAUCGCAAGACCUCGCGCGAUUGGAGCGGCCGAUAUCCGACUAGGGAGUUGGUGGGGUAAAGGCCCACCAAGCCAACGAUCUGUAGCUGGACUGAGAGGACGACCAGCCACACUGGAACUGAGACACGGUCCAGACUCCUACGGGAGGCAGCAGUGGGGAAUUUUGGACAAUGGGCGAAAGCCUGAUCCAGCCAUUCCGCGUGCAGGAUGAAGGCCCUCGGGUUGUAAACUGCUUUUGUACAGAACGAAAAGGUUUCUACUAAUACUAGGAGCUCAUGACGGUACUGUAAGAAUAAGCACCGGCUAACUACGUGCCAGCCGCCGCCGUAA
rnacentral:rRNA from 1 species